rnacentral:misc_RNA from 1 species
GAAUUCAUUCUUUUCAUUGGGGCUAUAGAGAUUUAAGGCUUACUUCUUAGCAAGUAUGGAUAUAAAUAUGGGAUGCAAGGAUGAGAAGAUAUGGAUAAUCAUGGCCACUGUCCAGUUCGGAACAGGGACUGGUCCUACCCAUAACCAAAACCCAUCCAACCUGGAUUGACAAAAAAUGACCUUGAACUGGACUGGACCAGUCCAGCUUCUGACCAAAACCCC